rnacentral:rRNA from 1 species
GAUGAACGCUGGCGGCGUGCCUAAUACAUGCAAGUCGAGCGAACAGACGAGGAGCUUGCUCCUUCGACGUUAGCGGCGGACGGGUGAGUAACACGUAGGUAACCUACCUAUAAGACUGGGAUAACUUCGGGAAACCGGAGCUAAUACCGGAUAAUAUUUCGAACCGCAUGGUUCGAUAGUGAAAGAUGGCUUUGCUAUCACUUAUAGAUGGACCUGCGCCGUAUUAGCUAGUUGGUAAGGUAACGGCUUACCAAGGCAACGAUACGUAGCCGACCUGAGAGGGUGAUCGGCCACACUGGAACUGAGACACGGUCCAGACUCCUACGGGAGGCAGCAGUAGGGAAUCUUACGCAAUGGGCGAAAGCCUGACGGAGCAACGCCGCGUGAGUGAUGAAGGUCUUCGGAUCGUAAAACUCUGUUAUUAGGGAAGAACAACCGUGUAAGUAACUGUGCACGUCUUGACGGUACCUAAUCAGAAAGCCACGGCUAACUACGUG